rnacentral:rRNA from 1 species
GAUGAACGCUGGCGGCGUGCCUAAUACAUGCAAGUCGAGCGAACAGACGAGGAGCUUGCUCCUCUGACGUUAGCGGCGGACGGGUGAGUAACACGUGGAUAACCUACCUAUAAGACUGGGAUAACUUCGGGAAACCGGAGCUAAUACCGGAUAAUACAUUGAACCGCAUGGUUCAAUAGUGAAAGACGGUUUUGCUGUCACUUAUAGAUGGAUCCGCGCCGCAUUAGCUAGUUGGUAAGGUAACGGCUUACCAAGGCAACGAUGCGUAGCCGACCUGAGAGGGUGAUCGGCCACACUGGAACUGAGACACGGUCCAGACUCCUACGGGAGGCAGCAGUAGGGAAUCUUCCGCAAUGGGCGAAAGCCUGACGGAGCAACGCCGCGUGAGUGAUGAAGGUCUUCGGAUCGUAAAACUCUGUUAUUAGGGAAGAACAAAUGUGUAAGUAACUAUGCACGUCUUGACGGUGCCUAAUCAGAAAGCCACGGCUAACUACGUG